CCGCAAAAGAAGCAGAGGGGGCUUAGUGGUGGGGUGACUGCGUACCUUUUGUAUAAUGGGUCAGCGACUUAUAUUCUGUAGCAAGGUUAACCGUAUAGGGGAGCCGCAGGGAAACCGAGUCUUAACCGGGCGUUAAGUUGCAGGGUAUAGACCCGAAACCCGGUGAUCUAGCCAUGGGCAGGUUGAAGGUUGGGUAACACUAACUGGAGGACCGAACCGACUAAUGUUGAAAAAUUAGCGGAUGACCUGUGGCUGGGGGUGAAAGGCCAAUCAAACCGGGAGAUAGCUGGUUCUCCCCGAAAGCUAUUUAGGUAGCGCCUCGUGAACUCAUCUCCGGGGGUAGAGCACUGUUUCGGCUAGGGGGCCAUCCCGGCUUACCAACCCGAUGCAAACUGCGAAUACCGGAGAAUGUUAUCACGGGAGACACACGGCGGGUGCUAACGUCCGUCGUGAAGAGGGAAACAACCCAGACCGCCAGCUAAGGUCCCAAAGUCAUGGUUAAGUGGGAAACGAUGUGGGAAGGCCCAGACAGCCAGGAUGUUGGCUUAGAAGCAGCCAUCAUUUAAAGAAAGCGUAAUAGCUCACUGGUCGAGUCGGCCUGCGCGGAAGAUGUAACGGGGCUAAACCAUGCACCGAAGCUGCGGCAGCGACACUAUGUGUUGUUGGGUAGGGGAGCGUUCUGUAAGCCUGUGAAGGUGGCCUGUGAGGGUUGCUGGAGGUAUCAGAAGUGCGAAUGCUGACAUAAGUAACGAUAAAGCGGGUGAAAAGCCCGCUCGCCGGAAGACCAAGGGUUCCUGUCCAACGUUAAUCGGGGCAGGGUGAGUCGACCCCUAAGGCGAGGCCGAAAGGCGUAGUCGAUGGGAAACGGGUUAAUAUUCCCGUACUUGGUGUUACUGCGAAGGGGGGACGGAGAAGGCUAUGUUGGCCGGGCGACGGUUGUCCCGGUUUAAGCGUGUAGGUGUGUGUUCCAGGUAAAUCCGGUUCACUUUAACACUGAGGCGUGAUGACGAGGCACUACGGUGCUGAAGCAACAAAUGCCCUGCUUCCAGGAAAAGCCUCUAAGCAUCAGGUAACAUCAAAUCGUACCCCAAACCGACACAGGUGGUCAGGUAGAGAAUACCAAGGCGCUUGAGAGAACUCGGGUGAAGGAACUAGGCAAAAUGGUGCCGUAACUUCGGGAGAAGGCACGCUGACAUGUAGGUGAAGUGAUUUACUCAUGGAGCUGAAGUCAGUCGAAGAUACCAGCUGGCUGCAACUGUUUAUUAAAAACACAGCACUGUGCAAACACGAAAGUGGACGUAUACGGUGUGACGCCUGCCCGGUGCCGGAAGGUUAAUUGAUGGGGUCAGCGCAAGCGAAGCUCCUGAUCGAAGCCCCGGUAAACGGCGGCCGUAACUAUAACGGUCCUAAGGUAGCGAAAUUCCUUGUCGGGUAAGUUCCGACCUGCACGAAUGGCGUAAUGAUGGCCAGGCUGUCUCCACCCGAGACUCAGUGAAAUUGAACUCGCUGUGAAGAUGCAGUGUACCCGCGGCAAGACGGAAAGACCCCGUGAACCUUUACUAUAGCUUGACACUGAACAUUGAGCCUUGAUGUGUAGGAUAGGUGGGAGGCUUUGAAGUGUGGACGCCAGUCUGCAUGGAGCCGACCUUGAAAUACCACCCUUUAAUGUUUGAUGUUCUAACGUGGACCCGUAAUCCGGGUUGCGGACAGUGUCUGGUGGGUAGUUUGACUGGGGCGGUCUCCUCCUAAAGAGUAACGGAGGAGCACGAAGGUUGGCUAAUCCUGGUCGGACAUCAGGAGGUUAGUGCAAUGGCAUAAGCCAGCUUGACUGCGAGCGUGACGGCGCGAGCAGGUGCGAAAGCAGGUCAUAGUGAUCCGGUGGUUCUGAAUGGAAGGGCCAUCGCUCAACGGAUAAAAGGUACUCCGGGGAUAACAGGCUGAUACCGCCCAAGAGUUCAUAUCGACGGCGGUGUUUGGCACCUCGAUGUCGGCUCAUCACAUCCUGGGGCUGAAGUAGGUCCCAAGGGUAUGGCUGUUCGCCAUUUAAAGUGGUACGCGAGCUGGGUUUAGAACGUCGUGAGACAGUUCGGUCCCUAUCUGCCGUGGGCGCUGGAGAACUGAGGGGGGCUGCUCCUAGUACGAGAGGACCGGAGUGGACGCAUCACUGGUGUUCGGGUUGUCAUGCCAAUGGCACUGCCCGGUAGCUAAAUGCGGAAGAGAUAAGUGCUGAAAGCAUCUAAGCACGAAACUUGCCCCGA
rnacentral:rRNA from 1 species